UGGAGUGACCAUCCCUGGAGGCACCCCUAAAUGCUUGUGAAGAACUGAAGCUGUUUGAAAACCUGAUAUCAAAAUGAAAAACAUUCUGCUACCUUGAAUGCAAUAAUCAAUAUUGAGCCCUUUUACCAUGAAGUAGCAGCUUUCAAGAACUCUUCAAGUUUUCUAAGUAUUCAGGUUAAAUCCAUCAGUUGGAAGGAUUAUUUCUGACUUCUGAAGACUUCUGACUUCUGCAGUCCAAAAUUAGGAGGAUAAACUUUUACCUGCAGAAUCCAAAGUAGAGCCAGGGAAACCAAACUGUGACAAUCGUUUUGUUCUGGGACACAGUGCUCCUGUCUGGUGCUUUUGAAGAUCUGGUGGCCUAAAUUCAAGCACAUCUGAAGGACAUUUCUGGUUGCAUGGGUGAAAAAGCCAUUUUAUUUCUAACUGGGCGUUUUUAAUAAACUUUGUAUAUUGAGUAGGGAGUUCUAAUGUCAAGGGAUUACCCACUGAACACUGGGUAUUUAAUUCUCUAAAGCAUGUUGGCAUAGAUUUCUAUUAAU